AGGUUCCGACAAUGAGAAGAACGGCAACGUUUUCACGGCGCAUGGUUUGGUUAUAGUAAUACUCAUUGUCAGUAUUUUAAUGGAUGCGAAUUUUGAUUUUCCCAUGAUGAAAAUUCAGACGCUUUCGCAGAAUUUUUUUAUAGGGCUUCGCAACGAUUUGACCGCAGAGUUCAGAAAAAGGUGUUUCUCUUUCGGAUUUUUAUCGCUGGAGUUCGAAAAUUUUUUGCCGACCAAAAACUACGAUGAUUCAAAAAUCAUGAGUGUACAGGACUCGAAUUCUACGUGAAAAAACUUUUUGCGAUUCGAGACAGAUGGCGCUUGAAUUUCGGAAAAAUUAAAGUUUUGAUUAUUCCGAGAACGGCGCUUCAGAUCGAAGAUAAGAAAGUACGUGUUGCAUGUUUACAAAAUAAAUGAAAACUCUACUUCAGGGUCUCACAGCGAGAGUUCCUCAAUCAUACUGAAUUGACUCUACGCUGAAAUCACAAAAGCUCGACGGGUGCACUAACUUACUAUAAUUGAACCACUUUUCCAAAAACGAACAACAAAAGAGACGGGAGA
rnacentral:misc_RNA from 1 species